rnacentral:rRNA from 1 species
GAGUUUGAUCCUGGCUCAGGAUGAACGCUAGCGGCAGGCUUAACACAUGCAAGUCGAGGGGUAACGGGGAAGCUUGCUUCCGCCGACGACCGGCGCACGGGUGCGUAACGCGUAUACAAUCUACCUUGUACUGGGGUAUAGCCUUUAGAAAUGAAGAUUAACCCCCCAUAGUCUCUUAGAGUGGCAUCACUUCUAGAGUAAAGGUUACGGUAUAAGAUGAGUAUGCGUUCUAUUAGUUUGUUGGUGUGGUAACGGCACACCAAGACUACGAUAGAUAGGGGCCCUGAGAGGGGGAUCCCCCACACUGGUACUGAGACACGGACCAGACUCCUACGGGAGGCAGCAGUGAGGAAUAUUGGACAAUGGAGGCAACUCUGAUCCAGCCAUGCCGCGUGCAGGAAGACUGCCCUAUGGGUUGUAAACUGCUUUUAUACAGGAAGAAACACCUCUACGUGUAGAGGCUUGACGGUACUGUAAGAAUAAGGAUCGGCUAACUCCGUGCCAGCAGCCGCGGUAAUACGGAGGAUCCAAGCGUUAUCCGGAAUCAUUGGGUUUAAAGGGUCCGUAGGUGGAUAAUUAAGUCAGAGGUGAAAUCUUGCAGCUCAACUGUAAAAUUGCCUUUGAAACUGGUUAUCUUGAGUUAUUAUGAAGUAGUUAGAAUAUGUAGUGUAGCGGUGAAAUGCAUAGAUAUUACAUAGAAUACCAAUUGCGAAGGCAGAUUACUAAUAAUCAACUGACACUGAUGGACGAAAGCGUGGGUAGCGAACAGGAUUAGAUACCCUGGUAGUCCACGCCGUAAACGAUGGUUACUAGCUGUUUGGACUUCGGUCUGAGUGGCUAAGCGAAAGUGAUAAGUAACCCACCUGGGGAGUACGUUCGCAAGAAUGAAACUCAAAGGAAUUGACGGGGGCCCGCACAAGCGGUGGAGCAUGUGGUUUAAUUCGAUGAUACGCGAGGAACCUUACCAGGGCUUAAAUGUAAGUUGCAUUAGUUAGAGAUAGCUAUUUCUUCGGACCACUUACAAGGUGCUGCAUGGUUGUCGUCAGCUCGUGCCGUGAGGUGUCAGGUUAAGUCCUAUAACGAGCGCAACCCCUGUUGUUAGUUGCCAGCGAGUCAUGUCGGGAACUCUAGCAAGACUGCCAGUGCAAACUGUGAGGAAGGUGGGGAUGACGUCAAAUCAUCACGGCCCUUACGUCCUGGGCUACACACGUGCUACAAUGGUAGGUACAGAGAGCAGCCACUGCGCGAGCAGGAGCGAAUCUAUAAAACCUAUCACAGUUCGGAUCGGAGUCUGCAACUCGACUCCGUGAAGCUGGAAUCGCUAGUAAUCGGAUAUCAGCCAUGAUCCGGUGAAUACGUUCCCGGGCCUUGUACACACCGCCCGUCAAGCCAUGGAAGCUGGGAGUGCCUGAAGUCGGUCACCGCAAGGAGCCGCCUAGGGUAAAACUGGUAACUAGGGCUAAGUCGUAACAAGGUAGCCGUACCGGAAGGUGCGGCU